UCCCUGGUGGCUCAGAUGGUAAAGAAUCUGUCUGCAAUGCAGGAGACUCAGGUUCAGCCCCUGAGCUGGGAA
rnacentral:tRNA from 1 species